AUGAACGCUAGCUACAGGCUUAACACAUGCAAGUCGAGGGGCAUCAGGAAGAAAGCUUGCUUUCUUUGCUGGCGACCGGCGCACGGGUGAGUAACACGUAUCCAACCUGCCCUUUACUCGGGGAUAGCCUUUCGAAAGAAAGAUUAAUACCCGAUGGCAUAAUGAUUCCGCAUGGUUUCAUUAUUAAAGGAUUCCGGUAAAGGAUGGGGAUGCGUUCCAUUAGGUUGUUGGUGAGGUAACGGCUCACCAAGCCUUCGAUGGAUAGGGGUUCUGAGAGGAAGGUCCCCCACAUUGGAACUGAGACACGGUCCAAACUCCUACGGGAGGCAGCAGUGAGGAAUAUUGGUCAAUGGGCGCUAGCCUGAACCAGCCAAGUAGCGUGAAGGAUGAAGGCUCUAUGGGUCGUAAACUUCUUUUAUAUAAGAAUAAAGUGCAGUAUGUAUACUGUUUUGUAUGUAUUAUAUGAAUAAGGAUCGGCUAACUCCGUGCCAGCAGCCGCGGUAAUACGGAGGAUCCGAGCGUUAUCCGGAUUUAUUGGGUUUAAAGGGAGCGUAGGUGGACUGGUAAGUCAGUUGUGAAAGUUUGCGGCUCAACCGUAAAAUUGCAGUUGAUACUGUCAGUCUUGAGUACAGUAGAGGUGGGCGGAAUUCGUGGUGUAGCGGUGAAAUGCUUAGAUAUCACGAAGAACUCCGAUUGCGAAGGCAGCUCACUGGACUGCAACUGACACUGAUGCUCGAAAGUGUGGGUAUCAAACAGGAUUAGAUACCCUGGUAGUCCACACAGUAAACGAUGAAUACUCGCUGUUUGCGGUAUACAGUAAGCGGCCAAGCGAAAGCAUUAAGUAUUCCACCUGGGGAGUACGCCGGCAACGGUGAAACUCAAAGGAAUUGACGGGGGCCCGCACAAGCGGAGGAACAUGUGGUUUAAUUCGAUGAUACGCGAGGAACCUUACCCGGGCUUAAAUUGCAGUGGAAUGAUGUGGAAACAUGUCAGUGAGCAAUCACCGCUGUGAAGGUGCUGCAUGGUUGUCGUCAGCUCGUGCCGUGAGGUGUCGGCUUAAGUGCCAUAACGAGCGCAACCCUUAUCUUCAGUUACUAACAGGUUAUGCUGAGGACUCUGGAGAGACUGCCGUCGUAAGAUGUGAGGAAGGUGGGGAUGACGUCAAAUCAGCACGGCCCUUACGUCCGGGGCUACACACGUGUUACAAUGGGGGGUACAGAAGGCAGCUAGCGGGUGACCGUAUGCUAAUCCCGAAAGCCUCUCUCAGUUCGGAUCGAAGUCUGCAACCCGACUUCGUGAAGCUGGAUUCGCUAGUAAUCGCGCAUCAGCCACGGCGCGGUGAAUACGUUCCCGGGCCUUGUACACACCGCCCGUCAAGCCAUGGGAGCCGGGGGUACCUGAAGUACGUAACCGCAAGGAUCGUCCUAGGGUAAAACUGGUGACUGGGGCU
rnacentral:rRNA from 1 species